GCUUCACCGCGUAUAAAUCCACGAGCUCAACUGCCCAAGCUUGCGAGCUUAGCCGUAAGCUCAUAUCAAACUGCCCCACUUGCAACAGCACGCGUCGCUGUCAGCUGUGACCCGCGUCGUCGUCGUCUCCUCCUCCUCCUCCUCCUCUGCUCUCCCUCCGACCGCGUUUCUCCCGAUCUCUGCGUCUCCAGCUCCGGCAAUGUCGCUCUCUCGGCCUCGUCGGGGCAGGGAGGAGGAGGAACUGGACGGCGGCCCUGCUGCCGGUGAGGGCCAACGCCGGCGAAGCGACCACGGGGCUGCUCCUGCUUCUGCUGCCUCCACCGCCGGGAGAAAGAACUUUCCUAUGAGGCCCAGAUUGAGAUCCUCACUGAGGAGUGCAAAAACAGAAAGAGGGAGAUGCAAGAGCUUUACCAAAAUUCCCAACUGCAGCACAAGGAAGUGAAGGAACUGAUCAGCGAGCGAAAUUCACAUAUUCAGCUGAUUUGGGAACGGCUCAACACCUUGAUUUCGGAGACGAGUGCACUUGGAGAACAUGUUGGCAAAUACAGUGAUCUUGGGGCCUUAACCCAUCAGAGCGAAAUCAGAAAAUACCGGUUGAAAUUUGUGAACAAGUGCUGCAAUGCCAAGUACUCGAGACACGACAUGACAGCAGAUGAUGGAAGUCCUAUUAAGGUAGCCAUAUAUGAUCAAAAAAAUAGGAUCAUUACAAAUGGACCCUUAUCAUCAGUUCUAGUUAAGAUUGUUGCCCUGGACGGCGAGUUUAACAAGGAAAAUAAAGAACAAUGGAGUGAAAACUCCUUUAAAACAAGCAUAGUACAUUGCCGUCCUGGAAGACAACCUUUGUUUGCCAAUGAACUAUAUCUAAGGCUUGAAAAUGGUGUGGCUCACCUCUGCGGCGCCAAAUUCCAAGACAAUUCAAGUUUUGUCCCAAGCAAGAAGUUCAGGUUGGGAGUCAUGGCAGCUGAUGAUAGUAUAUCAGAGAAAAUUCUGGAAGGAGUAUCUGAAUCUUUUGCCGUAAAGGACGGUCGUGGUUACCCGAAAAAGAAGGAUCUGUUUCCAUCUCUAAAUGACCCAAUAUACAAGCUGAAGAAAAUAGGAGAAAAUGGAGACAGGCGUAAGCUACUAGAGAAUAUGGAUAUAAAUAUUGUUCAAGACUUUUUGCGAUUCUACAAUAAGGAUAUGAAGGGUCUGCGUGAAGUAUGAGAACAAGCUUGUCGGAAUAUCCCAGAUCAUGAUUGGAACAUCAUUGUUGGACAUGCUCUGAGUUGUAAACCAGGACCUGAACGUUACUCAUACUGCAUUCCUGGAAUGGAUGCUACAAUUUGCUUCAACUCUCUAUACAACAUUGUUGGUGCAGAAUUCAAUGGUAAAUACAUUUCUUAUGAAGAACUUAACAGUACUCAGAAGAGUCUAGUGGAAAUGUCCAAGAUGACAGCGUAUGAGAAUUUGGAAGUUUCUAAGUGUGAAUACAAAGAUCCAUGUCAUGAGCAUGAGGUGAUAGCUGAAUAUGAAGGAAGCUGUUGCCCACGGGGAUCAUGUUCAAUGCUACCACUUUCUACACUGUCAACAAGAUUUCAUGAGGACAUUUCUCCACAAGGCGAGGUUUUGGAGAGCACUCCAGCACAGGAAAGCCCCCGGCCUCGUCAACGCUGGGCAAAAAUCAUGACUGUGGUCACCACUCUUCGUUUCUUGAACAAGAAGCCCCAGGCUACUCCUCGAGAAAUAUCCCAAACUCCUUGGACAGAAAGUAGCAUUGGGAUGACUUAUGUGCCCGACGAUUUACUGGUGGAGGCAGACAUAGAAAUGUGCCCAACUCCUAUAACAGAAAGUAGCUCUGGGAUGGUUGAAUGGCCCUAUGAGUUAUGGGACUGGUGUUAACCUGUCCUAGGAUAGAAAAUAGCUUUGGCAUAGUUUCUAAUUUCUCAGUGAAACUUUAGCAGGCUGCUCCAGGAGCCAAGCUAAGCCCUAAAUCCGCCCCAGAUUUGCUUCAGAUGGAUGUUUGCUAUCCUCCGUUAGCGUUAUGUUGCUGUGAAUCGAUAAGCCUGCUGCUUGUCGUCUUAAAUUUGUUAUCUGUAGAAAGAUGUUGGGGGCUUUACUUGGCUCACCGAUGUUGCUUCCAAAUAAGCUGAUUUGCUUAGGACUCUUGGAGAUCUUGCAUUCUGGCUACAUACUCUGUUGAAUGUGCUAAUGCCUAAUAGUAGUUCAGCUUGCUCCUCUUGACACUA